CUUCUCUGUGCAACCCCACCCACCUGCAGCACCUGAUCCUCCCCAUCCCAGCGGCUCGGGGGGGCUGACCCUGGCAGCUCCUCCCUGUCUUUGGAUAACAGCGCUAACCAGGGGGCGAUUAUUAAUCCGCUGUCACUAUUGUCACCAGGUGAUUCCCUGCCCCCCGCCCUGCCCAGGUGUGAUGGACGUGCAGGAGGUGCUCCUGCAGCUCUGGGGGGAGGUGGCCAGGCUGCAGGAGCUGUGCUCGGAGCAGGGGAGGCUCCUCCGGAGGCUGAGGGCCAGGAAGGGACCGGUCCUGGACAUCCCGGUGUCGCUGCCUGUGCAGUGCACGGAGGAUGUGGUGACAGGGGACGGGCAGAGGUCACCUGAGAGCCGCCAGAAGCACCCAGGGGCUCUGACAUCGCCCACGUCCCCCCUGGAGGGCUCUGCCGGUCCCGUGGAGCAGCCCCAGGACACCAAGAGGCUCCUCCCGAGCCCUGGGAGCGGCGCUGGCAGCGGAGGAGCCGCGGCUUCGGGCAGCACCGAGGGGCAGGAGGGGGAUGAGCCCACCUGGAGGAGCCCCUGGAUCCUCCCCGUGCCCUGGGGAGGAGGGAGAGCCCCCUCCAGCCCUGGGGAGCUGGAGACGCCCAACCCAGGGGCUGGGGGCUCCUCCCCAAACCCCCUGGAUCUCUACGAAGCCCCGGAGGUGCCCGAGAGGGAAGACGCUGGCAGCGACGUGGCUCUGGUGGAGAUCCGAGGGCCUGUGAAGGUAAUUUGGGAGCCUGGCAGGGAAUUCGGUCCAUGCUGGAGUUACAGCACCCUUCACCCUCCUCUCCCUCAGCCCUGGGCACACGGGAGGUGGGGCAGAGGGGGGUUAUUCCCUUAGAAAGUCUCUGGGCACUCAAAUUUCUGGGUCCCAGGGGAAUUGAGGUCCGGCUGUCCAGCCAGGACAUCCUCACUGAGGCUGUGAGGGGUCACUGGGGGAAAAGUUCUCACAGCCUCCUUCAGAUCUUCCACUUAAACAGCUCCCUUGGAGGGGUCACUGGGGGAAAAGCUCUCUCAGCCUCCUUCAGAUCUUCCACUUAAACAGCUCCAAAGUAUUUCCUUCAUCCUCUCUGAUCUCCACACCCAAAACACAUCUCCAAACCAUUCCAAACGAUUCCCGUCGUUCUGAAAGGAUUUCUAAAGACCUCCCUGAGCUCUGGCCCCUCAGGUCUCCUGGCGAAGCCUCACCCCGGGGUCCCUGGGAUGCCAAACCCCUUUUCUUUCAUUCCUUUUCCUAAUGGAAACCUUUAAAAAUUCUGUCAGGGCUUCAGGGGCUGGGGAUUCCCGGGGAUAACUCCUGAUUUUGGGCUGUAUUUGGGAGGGAGUUUUUAAAGGAGGAGGGGGAAGUGGGGCAGUGUCUGUCACUCAAGUGACAAUGGCCCAGGGACAGGUGACAAAUGUGCUCCGGUUUGUCACUCAAAGCCAAUUUUCCCCCUGGUCUGGCCCGUGGGAAGCGCUGGGGGAGGCUCAGGAGCCACACCAGGAUGGACCAGUGGGGUUUGUGGAGGAUGGGGUGGGGGGCAGCUCGGGCUCCAGCCCAGCACGAAGAGGUGGGGUCGGGUUUUGGGGCCGGCCCAGGGCGCUCCCGGGGGUCUCUCUGCCCCCAAACCCCUCUUCUCCCCGCAGAGCUGCUGGACGCCGGGCUGGGCGCUGGGGGCUGACCCCGCCCGUGAGGCCGCCCCCGCCUGUGAGCUGUGCCGGGAGGUUCUCCCCGCGGGGGCAGCGGCACACGCGGAAUAUCUGAGCCACGUCCUGGCCCAUCUGGAGUAGGACUCGUCCUCCCAACGGGAGAUCCGUGGGUUUGCACCCGACCCGCGGGACUGGCUCUGGACGUUCCCAAACUGGACUUGGUGCCCUCUUCCAGCCCCGGGGCUCUGUGGUUGGUGAGGAUUUUUGGGAUCCUGCUGCUGCUUUGGACUGGGUUUCCACCUUCCCCAUCCUUCUCCAGGCCGAAUGAGCUCUCAGAUCUGCAUCGCGGGUGUGUUUUGGGUUAUUGAUCUCCGUGGAUCUUGAUGAUGAUCCCAUCCCGGGGUCUGGAGGUGUGAGGGGGAGCUGCAGCUCCUGGGAAAAGGGAAUUGCCUUUGAGUGGAAAUGAGUCUUCCAUGAAUAGUUAGGGAUGUUUGGGAAGGCACCCUGGCGUUUUCUGGGAGUUUGGAAGGUUGAGUGGAGAAUCUCAAGGCUUUUGGGGGUCUAAGAAUUAUUUUAAUUCAUUAACAGUAGUUUGAGUGUUUUAUAGCACCUCCAUCAGUGGUAUCCAACGUGUUUCCCAAAGGAAUUCACUGCAGCAGUGGGGAAAUGAGGCACAAAUCAUGGAUCACCUCCAAAUCUCUCUUUUCUGUUGGAAAAAUCUAUCUCAGGCUUUUAUGUUUUGCAAGUUUCUCCCAGAGUGGAUUUGACGUCUCCUGCUUGAGGAAACUUGUGUUGAAAUGGAGAGCCAGGUUCUCCUGUGACGUCAGGGACUGGGAGGAAUCAGGAACUCCAGAUCCAACAUCUCCCCUUUGGCAGCAGAGAGAAGUCAGGAGUGAAGUUUCUUCCCCAGAACGGAGCCACAGUAAUGGAUUUACUGGUGACAAACUUCUGUGUGUCCCCAGGGUCCCUGGAACCAUUUUCCGAGACUAAUCCCACAGCUUUGACCUUGGAUUCUCCAUCCACGUGGAUUUUGGAGCUGCUUCCAGCCCUGGGUAGAACUGGGGCCUUUAUUUCACUGAAAAUGGGUUUUCUCCAAGUUUUCUCCAAGAUUUCUCCACAACACAACUUUCCCACCACCCUCUUCUGCUCCAAGAUUCAUCCUGUGGCUCCUCAGAUUUAUUUGGAUUAUUUGAUAGGGUUUUAUUCUCUUCUUAGGGGACAAACCCUCAUUUCCCGGGUGAAUCCCUGGAAGCUGGAACAAGGAUUCCAUCAAUUUAUUCCCAUUGAUUGGGGAUAAUCAAUGGGAUUAUUGCAUCCCAUUAUUCCAACCGAAUUGCUGGAGUUGGAUGGAAGGAGGAACCCAGCCAGGCUCUGCUCGCCCAGGAAAACCAAUUCCCAAAGCAGGAGCACGGAUUUGUCAGGAGCCAAAGCCGCUGGUGUGGGGCAGGUGUGGCUCUGCAGUGCCCAAAAUGCCGUGGAAAACCCCCCUGGCAGCACUUGGGGUGAGCCACGAGGGAAUUUUGUGCUGAUCCUCCAUCAGGACAGCCAUGGAAGCUCUCAAGGACAUUUUUAGCUGCGGGGGAAUUAAAUCCCCCCCUCCCAGAUGGGACACGGAGCCUUUUUGGCUCCAGCCUUUUCCAGGGCAGGAAGGUGGCUCUGUCUCCAAAAUAACUUUAAUUGCAGGUUGCUGGUGGGGCCCGUGGGUGGGGUGUGGUUUUUGGGGUCAGGUUGGGCCCCGGGUGGGUGGGAGUUGUUUUGGGACAGGCAGAUUCCCGUCAGGAGAAGAUGGAAAAUGGGAAUUGGGUGAGUUCAGGGAUGAGGGUGCCCCACUCGUGUUUUCUCCAAGCAGGGAUGGAGCUGGUGAUGAUGCUCCUGGGGAAGCCACGGCAGCAAAAAUGCAGCUGGAAAUGGGAUUUUGGGUGGAAAAUGUUCAUUUUUGAGAGUUUCUAAUCCAGGGCUUUGGGGAGAGGGAAGGGGCCCUGGUGCUGGAGAUCGGAAGAGCGGUUCAGCAGGAAUGCUGGUGCUGGGGUGUCCUGGCACCGAGCUCUGGGCACCAAUCUCACCCCAAAUUCCAACAUCCAGCACUUUGGGGGCCACAUUUUCAGAGGAGAUGGAAGAAAUGGGGGUGGGGCAGGGUGGGAUUUCAUCCCUCUAAUUGGAGAGUGAGGGAAAAGGGAAAUUUCCUGCCCAGGAACAGCAUUUCUCUGGCUGCUGUGGUUGUCCCAAACCUCCUGGGAAUUGCCAUCGGAAAUGAGGGAUGGGGGGAAUCGUCUCUCCCCCCAUUUGCAGCAGGAGCCCGUCUGUGCCACCAGCAAGGAUGGCAAGUCAUUAAUGCCUCUGUUAAUUAAUAACUGACCCUCGAUUUUCAUCCCUCAUUAAGGGAAGGGAAAUGUUCCGUGAUCCUGUUUUGUUUGGACACCAGCUCGAGGAAGCAGAGACUGGAAAAUGGGAUAAAAAAAGUGCAUUUCCGAGCAGUUCAGUGACUUCCAAGUGUCGUUUUUGGAAGAGUUUUAGGUGACAGCUCGACCCUCCCGAAUUUCUGAGCAUUUCUGAGCCGUCCCUGCUGGGACAAGGGGAAUUUUGGGGAGUU
rnacentral:lncRNA from 12 species